rnacentral:piRNA from 1 species
AGAUGAUGGUGUGUUUUGGAUGGAGU